GGGCCAUAACUCACCGGUAGAGCACCUGCCUUGCAGACAGAAGGUCACAGGUUCAAUCCCCGUCAUCUCCA